UGACACAAUUAUGUAAUGGCAGUUAGGAUUGGAAAAUAACUUGUGUUAAAAUGGGAUUCAAUGCCCCGAAUAAUCAAGGAAUAUUUCUUUGUUUUGACAUAAAAAACUACAAAAGUUAGAUAUCAAGCAUUAUGAUCACCUGGUUCUGAUCCUUCUGUUGUUGCUCCAUUAUGGCAAAUACUCUCUCGAUUCCCAGACUUACACCAACUGCUGGAACUUGCUUCGAACCAAACAUCCCUAUCAGGUUAUCAUAUCGACCACCAGCAGCAAUUGAACCAACCUGUGUAAAAACCAUAAAUCAAUCACUAAAAUAUAAGCAGAAGAUUUCAAUGAAAACUAUGUAAAUGAAACUGACAGAGGAGGGUAUAUGCAAUGCAAAAACUUGACUGCCAUAAGCCAGCCACUCACAAGAAUCAAGGAUUUCAAUUCACUUCAUCAUACAUAAUCAUAUGCUUUCUGAAUAAGAAAUAAUUGCAGAAAAAUGAUCAGAAAAUCGUGUUGAGACCAUCCCAAUCUACAACAACAACAACUAUGUCUUAUCGCAUUAUGAGGGGCCGGUUAUAUGGAUCAAACAACACCGUGAUGUUCUAUUAUAUACCAUAUUUCUAUCAAACUCAUUAAUCUCUAAUUUUUAUUAAUAGUUAUCCUAGGCCUUCCUCUACCUCUAGUGAUUUGACUACCCUCCAUCUACUAUUUCAAGUUAAUAUAAGUGCUGAUCACUGAACUUUUUCUACAAUAUAUAGCAUGCAUUGAACAUGCACUGCUUCAACCAUACAAAAAGAAAUUCUUAGCAUCAUGUUUCUCGUUUACUGCUCAGAUAGAGGAAAGGUGCUAAAGUAGUUUAACCACUAUCCUGCAUAACAUGUUUUGCUACAUUAGAAGUUAAAAUUUAUAUGCCACACAACAGAGAAAGGAAAGGCUUUUAGGAAUGCAGGUAGGUUAUUAAACUUGGACCUCUUCUUUGAACAACCAGUUUGCCAAAGUUUGACUAUAUCCCAUUGAAGUACAAGUCGAGCUAUCAAAGAAUUGGUAAAAAUUGGGCUAAAAUAUAUUUUUCGUCCUUUCUCUUUCACUUAAUAUCUGUUUGGUUCCUUUUUUAAGAUUUCUUAGAAUUUCGGAUGAGCCUAACUCAACCGGCUUGUAAGGUGAGGAUUGCCCCCACUUAUAAAGUCAUGCUCAGACCUUAUGCAAUUUGGGACUCUUUAACAAAAAAAUACGACAGACUAACUUUACCAUCUCUAAAUGAACAAGAAUGCAUAACCAGAUUUGUCCGAAAGAGGAAAUUAAAGUUUGACUCAAAGAUGGUGCAACAAAAGUCUCAACUAAAUCCAAAUGAAGACCAGUCUUUCAUAAUAAUCUAAAAGUCCCUAUAGCAUCUGCUGCAACUUUAUUGCCAUUGCCCACAUAGGUGAAUCAUUCAACAUCACUUGGCAGACAACUCCAAGGGAACCCAUUCUUUAACACCAUGAGGUGUAUUUGGAACAAUUGUUCUUUCAUGUGUUCUUGCAAAAGAAACAUGUGGAUUCCAUUGCUUGUUCCUUUGCCUUCUUGUUUUGCUUAGAGUUUUCCGCAGUCCUUUUCCUUGUAUUCUGAGAGCUAGUAGUCGGGUGAGCACUUUCAGACUUUUCCCUCUUCAGCAUCUCUUCCUCUUGCAAAGUGAGAUAUAAGCUCAUCAAGGGACCAUUGGUUCUUCUGAGUAUUGUAACUCACGUUGAAUUGCUCAAAGUGUGCAGGGAGAGAGGUCAAAACCAAAUGCACAAUCAAGACAACACAUUUUCACCAGCACAUGCAACCCCUUCUUUCACGACUCCAUUGGAUCCAUGGCAUCGAGAGUACCGGUUGAGGAAGAACUACAAGCCAACAAGUGCUCGUUACUCAUCCCUAUAUCUUUGUGUUUCAGAUUAUUGCUAAAGAGACUUUUCGCCAUGGAUCCAGUUGUUGCAGCUACCGCUCCCAAUUUCGCUGACCAAAUUAACAAUAACCUCGUGCCGAAUGGCAUGAAAUUCAAGUCUUGGAAGUAAUUUGUGGAGACAGUUAUUGGAUGCAUGGAUAUGAAUUUAUCCGAGGAAAAAACGCUCCACUGCCACUGCUGAGAACCGAAAUGAAACAAAAUUGGAAAAAUGAAACCGAUACAAUCGUAUGUGCCUCAUGAUUAUCAAAAUAUCCAUACCUGAAAUGAUUAGGGGCUCAAUUACAAAGUGAAAGUGCCAAGAAAUUCCUUGAAACUGUGGAGUAAUUCUUCGCCUUGAGUUUUGAGGUGAGAUUGGCCAUUUCCAUAAUAUACUCCCUUAUGUUCCCUUUACCUUUAUAAUUCAUUGCGCUAUGGUUUCAAGGAAUUUCUUGGCACUUGUACUCUCAGUAAUUGAGACCCUAAUCAUUUCAGGUAUGAACCUUUUGAUAAUCAGUAAUUGAAUCGGUCCCAUUUUUUCAAUUUUGCUUCAUUUGGGUUCUAAGCAGUGGCAGUGAGGCAUUCUUUGCUCAAGGGAUAAAUCCAAGUCCAUGCAUCCAAGAACAAUAUUAACAGAUUCCUUCAUAAACUUGAAUAGCAUCCUAAUCAGCAUAGGAUAUUGUUAAUCUGAGCAGCAGAGUUGGGAGUGGUAGUAUAACAACUGGAUCCAUGGCUAAAAGUCUUUUGGCAGUAAUCUGAAACACAAAGAUAUAGAGACGAGUAACGAGCACUCGUGGCUUGUGAUUCUUCAUCAACCGGUACUCCUAAUGCUUCGAAUACUCUUCAGAUGAAUAUAAGAGACAAUAUGCUUGUGAUUCAGAUUAUUGCCGAGAGGCAUUUUGCCAUAGAUCCGAUGGAGUCGUGAAAAGGAGGGGUUGCAUGUGCCGGUGAAAAUAAGGAGAUGUGUUGAUUGUGCACUUGGAUUUGACUUCUCUCCCACACUUUGGGCAAUUCAAAGUGAGUUACAAUACUCAGAAGGACAUAUGCCCCUCAAUGAGCUUAUAUCUCACUGUGCGCAAGAGGAAGAGAGGCUGAAGAGGGAAAAGACUGAAAGUGUUCACUUGACUACUAGCUCACAAAAUGAAAAGGAAAAGGACUGCAGGAAAUUCUUCUCAAAACGAGAAGGCAGAGGAACAACCAAAGGAGUCAACAUGUUUCAUCUGUAAGAAAACAGGACACAUGAAGGACUGUUCUAAAUACACCCCAUGGCAUGAAAAGAAAGGGUUGCAUGUGAAGUCGUCUACCAAGUGAAGCUGAAAGAUUCAUCUAUGUGGGCAAUGGCAAUAAAGUUGCAGCAGAGGCUGUAGGGACUUUUAGAUUAUGAUUAUUAAAGACUGGUGUUCAAUUGGAUUUAGACGAGAAUUUUGUUGCACCGUCUAUUAGAUGGAAUUUAAUUUCUACUAGAUUUAUUUUGGUCCUUCAUCUUUUUUAAAUAGGUAAAUGUUAGUCAUUUUGGCACAUGUUCAAUAUGAAAAGGAAAAAAAAUGUUGACUUUCAAUGGUUAAAUAGGCGGCAUAAUUAUUGUCUCAAUUGGCAUCCAAUAUCUCAAUUGACAUCCAACAUGUCACAAUUACUGUCUUAUAAGACAACUAAUCACCCUAAGCCUAAUUUUCAAUUUGUUGGUUUUGUUGAAGUAGACAACAAUAUUAAGGCAACUGAUAGUUCAAGUAUACAAAACCUCAAAUAAGCAUUGUUAAGUCAGCAUUUUUUAUAUUUCAUAUUUAACCUGCUGUGAGAAAAAGGCUAUGCUUACCCACUUAAAAAAGUUAAAUGACCAAUAUGUAACUUAAAAAAGAUAAAGGAAGGACUAAAACAAACAUUAGGUAUUGUAAAAAAAAAAAACAGAUAUUAGGAGAACCUAUUCCUGAGUGCAAAAAUUCUAGGCCAAGCGUUACUCACCGGCCGAACUCUGGAUUACCACGGGCCUCCCCUUGGGAACCGAAGGGUUAACACAAAAAAACAAUAUUCGGUAAAAGAUAAAGGACAAAAUAUAUUUUAGCCUUAAAAUAUUAUCGCAGCAACCUUGAUCUAUCUUGAUUAUGUGUUUCUCUUGUGGAGGAAGUGAUAAUCUAAUUAAUUACUCAAUUUUGUUUUUUUUAUCAAAGGAAUAGAUCAUUGAGGGUAAGAAGAGCAAUGCUAUAUAUCAAGAAAGAUUUUAUGAAGAAAAUUUUAAGAAUGACAUGGCAGAAUAAUCACCCUUAGAUUUUAUCAAGAAAUAGUCUUGAAAUUAAUGUUAGCCAAUAAAAUCUCAGCCUGGCCGGAAAUCAUGGGGUGGUGGGUGUUAUGUAUUUUUUUUUUAUGAAAGAUUAAUAAAUGAGACUUAAAUCUAAAGGUGAUUAUUGUGCCAUGUCAUUCUUGGAUCUUUCUUAUAAAAUCAUUCUUGAUAUCUAGCAUUUUCCGGGUAAGAAAUACCCCAUAGGCUACAGCAGCAAAAGAUAAAACACAUGCGAGAAUUAACAGAACCAUCAUUUCAAAAACACUCUAAUUUCUCUGAUUAUCCAAACGCAAUAUACCCAUCUACAAAAAGCAAGGGUAAAAACAUAGAAACCAACAAAAUAAUUUUCUAACAAAAGAUUAAAAACAAUCUUGGUCUGCGCAGAUUUAAAUAUUGCAGCAUAAAAACCAAAUCAUCAAAAAGCAAGUCAGCUCUUACUUAAAUUCAACGCAAAAUCCAUUAAAAAUUAAAUCCUAAUUUAGGAGGUAAUCUGUACAGAAAACACAUAUAACCAAGGAUUGGACCUUAAAUCACAUUUUCUUACCUCCUAUUUAUCUUGACCGCUCAAACCAUUAACAAUGUUUAAAUUCACAAUCUUUCAUUCAAGAACUUUCCCAAUUAAAGUUAAUAUCUCCACCUAAAAAAUCUAAAGUUUCUGUUGUCUGAUAUGACUUGAGAUUUAAAUAGGUCUUUCCAUUAAUUUAAUUAAUCUCUUUUCAACCUUAUUUUGAGUGUGAAAGCUCCUUUGGUUUAAUCCAGCAAAGAACUGUUAAUCCUUCAUUAUAUCUUGUAUUAGACUAGCAUGUUUUAAACCAACUCGUGAAAAUGGGUCUAGCUUGUUGCAUCUAGAGUUUAACAAGACAGUGAACAUCCACUAUAUUCGGGCAGAUAUAAUGAAUUUUUCCUCUCAAAGAAUGAAGGAACUUAACAAGAAACAUUUCAGAAUGAAAAGAACAUAAAAGACGCGAGAAUUACCUGAGCACCCCCUUUAAAAACAGCUUCAAAAAUAACUCCAGUAUAAUAAUCAAGACCCCUGGCAAGACUCAAGUCAAAUACAACCUUAUCAAGGCGUUUUGAUUUAUCCAGAGCUCUGAACAAAAUUUCCAGGUCAUUCAAUGCAUCAACAGAUCCAGCAUUUUCUAAGAAAGCACUGCCUUCUUGUUUAAGUUUCGAUAACAAUGUUAAAGGAUGUCCUUUCUCUUUAACAAAAGUUCCAAUUCUGUCAGCUGUCUCAGCAGUUAAUCCUUUCUCUUCCACCUACAGCAUGAAAGUCAGUAAAAACCACAUUAUUAAAGAUAAGAAAUCACGGUGUUGCAAAAUAUAACUUCCAAAUAUUAACAGUUUAGAGUUAAUUUAUUGUAAUAAUGUUACAAUGAAUUGUGUCGGACAUAUUCUAAAGGGUUUGUUAUGUGCAAUAUUGCACAUGUUAAAGUCACUAAAAGUAGCAACUUUUAUUGAGAAACAACAAUUAUUUAUCAAAAAGUUAAAUAUUUUCCAUUAAAUGCACAAGUUCCAAUGCAAAUUUACUAUUUUGAACUUCUUAACAUGUGCAAAUUUGCACAUGAUAGAAAAACCCUAUUCUAAAAGGCAACAACUUUCGUAUGUCUCAAAAUCAUAAGCCAGUGUAAUGCAAUAUACUUGAAAGAUUAACACUCAGUCUGAUGCAUUCAAUGAAUCCUUUUUCAUUUAAUCAAGUCCAACAUUUGAAAACAUACAGGUUAUUAGCAAAGUAAUGCAAUCCAGAUUCCAGAUAUUUGCUCAAAAAUGAAGACACGGCAAUAGAAAAUGUAAAUGUGAAGUACGUAACCAGUUACAAGGUGUUUUUGCAUCUUCAAUAAAUCAUGCAACUAUAUUUACCAAAAGAAUGCUAAAGCACCAACUUAAAUUUCAUCCCUAAACCAAACUAUUUACCAUUGAUAAAGGAUAAACUAUGAGUAUUUAGAACAUGAGAAUAAAAAUAAAAGCCUACAUCUUCCAAAUGUAAAACACAAUGAACAGCUUAAGCACAACAAAAUUGGUCCGUUCAAUUAUAAUAAAAUCAAUUACAAAGGGAAUAGAAACAAACAACAUAUGCCCUCACCAUUUCUUUUCUUAUCUGUUCAAAUGAUUGUUUGUCUAACUUGUCAAUACUUGAGCAUAUAGUUCUAAACUUCUCAGGAGGUACUCCACAUAUUUGCAUCAUGCCAUCCAGUAACUUUCUGUGAUUCAACUUUACCUGUGAAACAAAAAAGAAUUACAACAGAAUGAUCGAAAUGAAACACAAAAAUAUAAUUUGAAUACAUUAUUGGAUGUGAAAUUUAACCGCUAAAUCAGAAAAGUACAGUCAAUCACCAGACACAUUAAAAUGAAUGAUAUUAUAAGGUUAAAUUAUAGCAGAUAAGUUUGGAUGAGUAAACUAGUCACAUUUAACUAGAUCAUGGGUGCCCGCAAAACUCAAUCAGCAGGCACAUCCAACUGAAUGACAUUAAAAGGUUAAAUUAUAGCAAAUAAGCUGGGAUGAGUGAACCAGUCACAUUUAACAAUAUCACUGAAAGAUCACAUCAGCCAGCAGGUAAUCUGAUAAUUGACAAAUAUGGUAUUUCAGGUUCAACUAUAUUUACCAAAAGAAUGCCGACAAAUAUGGUAUUUCAGGUUGAACUUCAAAUGUAUAAUGAAACCUAUAAGCCCAGCACAUAUACUAAUACAUAUUCUGAUAUUGUGCUAUGUUAGAAAUCUCUCACUAAAAUACAUAUAGACAGACCAUGAAAAAUAACGGUUAUAGAAAUAUCAAAUCAUGAACUCAGUAAAAAGUCUAAAUAGUUCUACAAAUUCAGAAAACCAAUACUUUUUGUAGCAGGGAUGUUAUAAACAUUUACCUCAAAAUCCCCAAUGUUCAGCUCAUCAAGCAAUUCAGUCAAAAUUCUAACAACCUCAAAAUCUGGAGCCAUUUUUUCAGCUGGACCAGCAAUAUCAAAGUCACAUUGAUAAAAUUCACGGUAUCUUCCCUUAGAUGGGUUGUCCCUUCUGUAGACUUUAGCUAUUUGGUAUCUUUUCAAAGAUGUCAGACCAUUCAUGGCCACAAACCGAGCAAAUGGAACUGUCAAGUCAUACCUCAAAGAACAGAGCUCUCCACCCUGUCAAACAAGUUGAUUACCAAUUAGAAUGAGCUGAAAUUCAACUUUAUCAAUGGAUUUGGUGCGAAUCAAUCCCUAAUGGCGGUCUGGUUUAAAAAUAAGAAAUCUAGAUUCAUGAACAUGAUCAGAAAUAUCAGAAGGAAAAAUUAUACAGAGCAAAAAUAUUCAAAUUUUUCACUUAUUUGAAUGCUGUGAGUUUUUUUUUCUACCAAUAUUCUUAAAAUCAACUCAACUAGUCAAGAAGUGAAUAAGCAAUAAUACCUGAUCAGCAAGAUCAUAAAUCAACUUUGAGUCUUCUCCAUAUUUUCCCAUAAGAGUUUCUCGCAAUUCAAAGACAGGUGUAUCCAAGGCUGUGGCACCAUGCCUCUCAAAAACUUCUUCUAUUACUGAAAAUGCUUUCUUUCUAAUAGUCAUUUGUUCUUUAGCGAAAUCACGUGUUCCCUGAGAUAUUUUCAUAUUGUUAGACUCAAGGUAAGACCACAGUAGUUAAUAGCAGAUAGCGGCGCGUAGCGGCCAACCCCAAAAAUGCUAUAGCGGGAUAGUGCAUAGCUCUAUGACCGCUAUUUCAUAAAAAUAAAAACAACAAAAAUAAGGAAACAGAGAGAGCAGAAUAGAAUUUUAUAAGAACAAAACAGAGGAUUGUUUGUACAAACUACAAACAGAAACAGAGAGAGCAGAAUGGAGUUUGGAAUCAAUAAUAACAAAGAAAACUAGAAUAAAAAAGUAACAGGACAACAGAGUUUUGAGAUUGUUAAACAAAAAAAUAACAGGAUAACAGAGCAAACACGACAAAGUAAAGUAGAGGAAGAUUUACAGCAAAGGUUAAGAAGUUUUACAGAACAGCAGAAAAGCAGAGGACGAUUUACAGAAAUACCCUUGUUUUUUUUUUUAAACCAAGGACAAUUUUGUAUUUUCUCUUAAAAUGAAAUAGCGGUUCUAAACCGCAAAACCACUACGAAGCGUUGCGCCGCUAUAGCGCCGCUAUCUCACACUGCAACGCUAUGGCUUGUUGCGUAGCGCUCCGGCACCGCACCGCGUGGCCGCUAUUGACUACUAUGGGUAAAACUACCAACAAUUGCAUCCCAACCACGAACAGAAAUUGACAUAUAAAAAAAAAAAAAAUUAUCAACAGACAACACAUUAAAUUAAAUGCCUUAAAACACAAAUUCAAAAAGGAACACCAGUUCCACAUUACAUGAGGUAAGAGUUAGAAUAUAUAUGAUUAACAGUAACGCCUUGUACAAGAUUCCUUGAAAUAUGAUUUUAACAAUGAAAAUCAUCACUCGUGUCAAACCAGAUCAGAUUACAACUUCGUCAAGGUUGUCAAACUAAAGAGUCUACGUAAUAAUUUGGUAGAGCAUAUGUAGGCUCGACUCAUAAGAGACUACUAAUAAAAAAGGGUAACCCGGAGCUCCCGCAUACGCAGGGUCUGGGAAGAGGUCCAACCAUUUGGUGUAUUGUACGCAACCUUACCCUGAUUUUUACACAAGAGGUUGUUUCCAGGACUUGAACCCAUGACCUUUCAAUCACAUGACAACAACUUUACUCGUAAGAGACUGCUAAUACAGUAAUAUAAAAAACAACCUAUCAUAACAUUGAAAUUCAAUUACAAUAUAUAUAUAUAUAUAUAUGAGUCAGGAUCCAUUGACACCAGGUGUCAACGGAUUCAUUGACACCAAAUCUCAACCGUCGAUUGUUUUUAAUCAAAGGGUGUGAGUUUAUUUGUUAAAUUAAUAGCAUGAUCUUUUUCUCUCAAGACUUAUAGGAUUGCAUACUCCUUUUUCCCAUAGCGGUAACAGACAGCACAGAAUUCCUUUUCGCUAUCACCGAUGGCCGUCUUUUCAUACCAAAAGGUGUGAUCUUUCUAAAUUUAAUUUAAAGGGAUUCCGAUAUGAUUAUUCAAGCCAUUUUCUCACAAAUUCAAUGCAGUUACUAUACAAUCAUGUUUAUUCAAUUAAUCCAAUUACAAAAACUCAAUUAAUCAUAGUUUGCAUCGGUUUCAAUGCAUAUGUGAAAUGGUGGAGAACAAUUUUCGGUUAGGAAAGACGAAUAUCAUUACGGUGGCGGCGGCAGUCAUCAACUUGAGUUUUUUUUUUGUUAUCAAACAAAUUAAUUUUGUUUUAAAACUGAUAAAUGUGCUAAUCAAAAGUAAAGAUACGGUGAAUCAAUUUAAAAAGUUAUUAUUAGCCUUUGAUUAAAAACAAUCAACGGUUAAGAUUUGGUGUCAACGAAUCCGUUGACACCUGGUGUCAACGGAUCCUGACUCUAUAUAUAUAUAUAUAUAUAUAUAGCACUGACAUGAUUGUUUUCUACAUUCUGACUUUAUAACGAGAUGCACAAAUGCAUUGAGUAGAUAUAUAAUCAAUUAAAAUGUUCAAACAUGGUUUCUAUUUGUCUACAAAAAAAAGUGAUAAAGUUAAAGAGAACUAUAGCAUGUGUAAGUAACACAUUUAAUCUUAUCCCUAAAAGAAUCAAUAAAAUCACCUUAGGAAUCUUGGGCAAUCUUCUGCUUUCAUUGCUUUCGACAACAUCCUUUACUUUCAACAAAAAUUCAUUGAAUUCAGGCUUAGCUAUAUCCAAAAAUGAUAGAAAAUCAGCCACCCAACUCUCCAAUUUCCGCAAAUUCUCUACAUCAUUCUUUUUUUCACUCGACAACCUUUCCUUAAUCAACGCCAAAAUCGAACUAGUUCCUUUCCCCAAGACAGCUUUCUUCUUCUUCUUUUCUACUUUGGUAUUCUCUCCAUUUUCCCGAACAAUUCCAAUCUUUUCACUCAAAUCAGCAGCCUCAAGUACAGCAUAAGCCGUCACAAGUUCCCACGCCACAAUUUUCCACACAAGCCCAAACAACACAUUGAUUUCAUGUGCAAAAUUAUCAUAAACCCUACCAGAAUACAACUUAAAAGACUCAUUAAAACUACUAACCAAACUAGCAUCAGUUGGACACUCCUUCCCAAAGAUUUCACUGAGACUCGAUUUCAAAUUAUCGCUACCAAUAGACAACAAAUUACUUUUGGCACGAGCAAAACUACACUCACCCAAUUCCCUCAACGCCAUCGCCAAAGGAAACAACACAUCACACACAGUAUGCUCACUCCCAAGCUCCAAUUUCCCCAACUUAUGUCCCGAAUUCAACUCAACCCGCAUCCUCGAAUGCACCGAUUUCGCUUUCUCCCUCAUAACCCCAUGAACUUUAACAAUUUUCACAACCUCAGGAACACUUUCCUUUCCAACAAACUUAGAUCCAUUAAGCAAAAUCCUCAUAUCACCAGCAACACCAACUUCCUCUUUAGAACUAUGUCCAUCACCAGAAUCCAUCAAAUUGAAAACCGUCACAUCAGCCUUCAAUGCCUCACACGAAAACGCUGCCGCCACGUCAGCAAACCCUAACAAACCCGCCGAUUGAUGAUCCAAAACCGCGGAAACAGCAAGCAACGCCGCACACUCGUUGUUCAUCAACAACGAGUGUUCACCUUCAGUUACAUCAAAUUCUUGAUCGAAUCGAAAAGUGGUUUGAUUCGAAUUGAGAGAUUCUGAAAUCGCUAAUGCAACGUUUUUGGAUGAAUUGCAGAGGAUGAGUUUGUUGAGAAGAACGAUGAGGAAAGCGCGAGUUUCAUCUAGGGUUAGGAAUUCGGGGAUGGUGAUAUUCUGCUUUGAGGAUGGUGGUGAGGUUAAUCGAUCGAGUGCGGAGGAAUCGAUUUUGAUUUGAGAUUUUCCGAUGGCGGUGGCGUAGACGGCAGAGGAAGAGAGUGAUGAACCCUUGCCGCCGAGUGUUACGGCGGAAAGUUCCAUUUUGCGAGAAGAUGUGGGAAUAGGCAAACCAGGGUUUAGGGUUCAGUUCAGAAAUGCAGGGUUCUUUCUUUCGAUAAACUGUUGAGUGAAUAGGCAAAUCUAUUCUCUUUAUUUGAAAAAAAUAUUUUCUUGUAUGUUAUUUUUAUUUUUUUGACAAAAUUUAUUAUAAAAUUAUUAACUUUCAUUUAUAAUCUCCCACAAAUUUGUCUCCGGUUAAAUUGAUCUUUUCAUUAGUUUUUUUUGGUCAAUUAUAUUGUGUUUAAUUUUAAUAUUGUUUUAAGGACAAGAUAAAUUUAGGGACAAGGAAUUAAACAAAUGUGAUGAAUUGCGUUGUGUAACAAUAAGUCAUCAACAACAAAACGAGAACAAUGGUGAUGGAAAUCUAGAGGGAACAAAAGAGUCUAUCCCUUAGCCACUAUUUUGGAACGCCCCCUGUCAAACAAUUUCAAGCCACCACCUCUAUCACCAUUCGACAAGAAGAGUGACCCGCCAAGACACCUUACAAUUUUCAACACCCAGAUGGACAUCAUCGCUGGGGUGGUAUAUGAAUCUACCUUGGUGCUCCAUAGUAGGUAUCAAGACAAGUCCCGAAAGCCAACAACUUUUGGCUAACAAACAUCCCAAAUAUCCACCAUCGAAUUAUUCAAUGUAUGACAGGGACAAAACAACACACUCCAGGAGAGUAACUCGCCCAUUUCAACGAUGCCACCAUUAAGGUCGUAAAUACUAACCAAUAAAUGUUUGUGGGGGCAUUUCAAAAUGGUAUGAAGGUUGGACAAUUCAACGAAUCACUUUUUAAAAUAUGAUAUUCUCUUUGUACUAGCAUGCAGAUGCCACUAAUGUGGUUGUCUAUUGCUUUUUUCAGACUUUUAUUCUUCUUUAAAAUAUGAUAUUCUCUUCGUAGAUAGUGUAUAUGUACAUUUUUAAAAUAUGAUAUUCUUUUAGAGGCAAUGGUCCCACCCACAUUUUAAUAAUUUUUUUUUAUAUACUACAACUAAAUAAUCUUAUUAAAAUGUUUAAUUUACAAAAAAAAAUAUAAACUUCUUUAUUAUGGUACUAGAUUAAUUGGCUACUAAUAUUAUUGGUUUCAUACAUUGAAAAAUGCCAAAGAGUACUCUAAUUAGGACAUUGGUUAAAGAGAUAAAAAUAGAAAUAUUGCAUUAAGAAAUGGUAAAAAAAUAAUCUUUUAAAAGUUAAUGUAUUAUUGAAUUGAAUGUAAACCUACUUCUUUUGGUUUAAGGUUUACUUGUUAGCAAAACCCUUAUACUUUAUAUUAUUUUUAAUUCUCUUAUAUGAUCCUUUCCAUAACGCAUUUUGAAUGGAACCGCAAUUAUAUAGCUUUGUAAAAUAAAAGGCUACUCUUAAAACCAAAAAAAAUAAAAGGCUACUCUUAAAACCAAAAAAAAUAAAAGGCUAUUUUAAAACAAAAAAAGAGCAAAUUAAACCCUAAAAUUAAAAUAGGGGAUACAAAUAUAAUUUAGUCUUUAAAUGUAUUAUCCGUUAUAUUAUCUUGUGACAAAAAUCUCGUAUUUUUCACACUCGUAUACAAAUUGUUUUAUUUAAUCAAUUGUCAUUUUUUUUUGCAUUAAUCCUCCGGCUCUUAGGGUGAUGUGGUCAUUGUGAUCCAGAGUUCGAUCGGGAGUUAAGUAAAAUCAAAGCUACAUAAAUAAUAGAGUUAAAUAUAUUUUGUCUCUAUAAAAUCACAAGUUCUAGCUCACGUGGCAAAAAUUACAGAAAUUGUUAGGUCGAACGCCAUGAUCAAGGUUUGAACAUCGACACCUCCACUUGUGCGUGUGAAAGUACACAAUAACUUUAUCAUUUCGUCUAUCUACAAAAAAAUAAUAUAGUUAUAAAUUUCUUUAACAAACAAAAAAUAUAUAUUAGUUUAGCGUUUCUUAUAUACCUUUUCUAUUUAAAAAAUUAUUUUUUAAUUAAAUUAUGCUAUUUAUACUCGGUCCCCCUAAUUUUAAAUUCCUGACUCCAUCCCUGCACCUCACAUUAUGUUUGUAUAGUUAGAUGAUAUGCAAAGUGUUUUCAAUGAGACUAUAUAUGAGUUGCUUUUGAAAUCCCUGAGUUUCGCUUUGAUGUUCUUGCUUUGUAGCUUCCUUCAUUUUAAGGACAUGUUCGGAUUUUGUUGUUUUUAUUUCAUUUUUUUGUUGUGUAUUUGUACAUAGACAAAACACAUGAAGAAAAUGAGAUUUAUUUGAUUUUAUAUAGAUGAAUGAAUUUUGUAGAUGAAUGAUUGGAUUUUAUUUUAUAUAAUGAAUGAAUUCUGGGUAUUCUUGUUUCGAGUUGUUUUAUACUACUUUAGAGUUUUAAUAAACCUACUAUCUCUUAAUGGAUUUUGAUUUUGAGGUGUUUCAUUAAGCUCUUUACUUUCGUGAUCUAUUUGUGCCUAUAAUUCUUGCAAUAUUUUCAAUUCUGAUUCGACACAUCUCUGCGUAGAUACUUAUUUUGUAAUAUCUUUUCAACUUUGCAUCAUGAACCAUUUCAUUCAAUUUAAUGCAGAAGGUUGGUGUUAUUGGAUUUCAUUUAAAUUAAAUCAGUUUCUUGACAUAGCCCUCUUUAGUUUAUUUCUUUAGUUGAUUCAAGUAAUGGAACAUGUAUCUUGCAGACUCAUUGUUGUCAGAGAAGGUGUCGAUUAUAUGCGUGAAUGCUCGUUUGGUCCUACUUCUCCUACUAAGGAGUAGAGAAGUCUAAAAUAAGCCGGGCCAAACAUAGUCUAGUGUCUUUCUAAGUCAAAACCCUACUUGUAAGUUGUAACUAUCUAAUAUCUUUCUAAGUAUAUGCCCCCUCAUUGUGCAGCUAUAAAAGAUUCAAGCAGCAAAGAAAGAUUCACCACACCAAAUAAGUGUUCUCACACCGAAGCACUGUGUGUUGAAAAUAUACAUUCAACUUCUUUCAAUUAUUAUUACUUUUUUAAAAUUCAAAGUAACUUCUAAAAAUGGAAUUAUAAAAUCAAAAGCGUAUUGAAUGACAAUUAACAAAAAGAAACCUAAGGGGUGUUUGUUUCAAGGUUAAGAAUGACAUUCCCGGGAAUACAUAGCUAGGGAAUGAUUAUACCCAUGUUUGUUAUGAGGUUGAGAAAAAAAUAUUCCUGGGUAUAAAGGUUCCUGGGAAUGGAGUAACUUCCCAUAACUUCCAUUAUUCCCAUGAAUAUAUUCCCAUGUAAAAAGUUUCGCAGACAAUAAAAUAAUGGAACUGUUACAUAAGUUGUUCUCUCAACUAAAUUUAACAAAUGAAUAUGAAACAUCAAAUGUUAGCAAAACCUAUACUCUUUCAACUCUAAAAUACAUCGAACAUUAAAAUACAAAGGGUGUGUUUGUUUCAAGUUUAUCAAAUUUAUUCCUAGGAAUAACAUUCCUUGGAAUAUAAAGAUGAGAAUUUUAUUCCAAAGAAUUUAGGAAAAAUAUGUUUGGUUAGCUUUAUAAUAUUCCAAGGAAAAGAAGAACGAAUGAAAGAAAAUAGGUAUAAGUCAGCUGCAAACAUCCCCAGUGAUUAAAUGCAUAACCUUGGUGAUGAAUCAGACAGCAUAAGAAACAGCAGGAGUAUUUGUCUGAUGGAGGAGAUGGUUUAGGAAAUAACUAGUGACUCAACUAUGUAAUGGCAGUUAGGAUUAGAAAAUAACUUGUGUUAAAAUGGGAUUCAAUACCCAGAAUAAUCAAGGAAUAUUUCUUUGUAUUGACAUAAAAAACUACGGAAGUUAGAUAUCAAGCAUUAUGAUCGCCUGGUUCUGAUCCUUCUGUUGUUGCUCCAUUAUGGCAAAUACUCUCUCGAUUCCCAGACUUACACCAACUGCUGGACCUUGCUUCGAACCAAACAUCCCUAUCAGGUUAUCAUAUCGACCACCAGCAGCAAUUGAACCAACC
rnacentral:lncRNA from 1 species